AAUAAUGACAUUAUUGUGUUCUACAAAGUCGUAGUGCAUUAUUUUAUUCUAUCAUCAAUAGUUCUCGCAGGCCACGCGAUGUAAAUAAUAUUUUAGGCAGAUGAAUAUGGACCACAGCAAAACCUGAAGUACUGCCAAGGUUCUUCCUGCCCAACUUAUGUCACUCUUGAUCCUACAAAAUUUUCGCUCUUCUCCUCAAACUGCUCAUACUGUGAGGUGGUCCAGAAAAUUAAUUCCGACCCAAAAAAGUAUUAUACAAAUUAUUAUUGUAGAACCUGUUUUUAAAACAUGAUAUCCGAUGUAUCGAAUCUUUAGUAUCCGUUGUACCGGAACAUUUGAGACAAUAAUAAUGAUAAUAAUAAUAAUUCAUUUAUUUGUAUAGAAUGCAGGUACAUAGUCUUAGUAUAAAAUAUAUUCAAUCCCACUACAUUCUGCCUGUUGGCAUACAAAUUUGAAGGAGAAACUUACUAAUUUAAACUAGGUAGAUAAAUUUAAGAAUGGGUGAGAUAAAUUUAAGAAUAAGAUCACAAAAAGUUUAUUAUAAAAAUUGAGAUCUUAAUAAGGAGAGUGUUACAAUUCAUUAUUUAGGAAAUCAGUAACAAAGUAAUAACACUUCUUUAAUAGCAGCGAAGACAGGAGUUGUUUAAAUUUUCGCAAGGGCUGAUUGUUGAAUAUAAUAGGAGCCAUACCAAUAACGACAAACACAAGAUAAUGCUUGUAAUUCGGACCUAUGACUAAAUUCCAAAAUUACAUAAAUAAUUUAAUAGAUAAAGAUAUAACACCUGAUAUAUGACAUCUUUAAAUUUCAAUCAAUAAAUACAACUAUAAUAAUUACAAAUUAAAAUUAAAGAAUCCUAAUCAGUC